AGUGAACGCUGGCGGUAGGCCUAACACACGCAAGUCGAACGGCAGCACAGUAAGAGCUUGCUCUUACGGGUGGCGAGUGGCGGACGGGUGAGGAAUACAUCGGAAUCUACUUUUUCGUGGGGGAUAACGUAGGGAAACUUACGCUAAUACCACAUACGACCUACGGGUGAAAGCAGGGGAUCUUCGGACCUUGCGCGAUUGAAUGAGCCGAUGUCGGAUUAGCUAGUUGGCGGGGUAAAGGCCCACCAAGGCGACGAUCCGUAGCUGGUCUGAGAGGAUGAUCAGCCACACUGGAACUGAGACACGGUCCAGACUCCUACGGGAGGCAGCAGUGGGGAAUAUUGGACAAAGGGCGCAAGCCUGAUCCAGCCAUACCGCGUGGGUGAAGAAGGCCUUCGGGUUGUAAAGCCCUUUUGUUGGGAAAGAAAAGCAGCAGGUUAAUACCCCGCUGUUCUGACGGUACCCAAAGAAUAAGCACCGGCUAACUUCGUG
rnacentral:rRNA from 1 species